rnacentral:rRNA from 1 species
AGGGCGAACGCUGGCGGCGUGCUUAACACAUGCAAGUCGAGCGGAAAGGCCCUUCGGGGUACUCGAGCGGCGAACGGGUGAGUAACACGUGAGUAAUCUGCCCUUAGCUCUGGGAUAGCUCCGGGAAACCGGGAUUAAUACCAGAUAUGACCACUUUAGACAUCUUUUGUGGUGGAAAGAAUUUCGGCUGGGGAUGAACUCGCGGCCUAUCAGCUUGUUGGUGAGGUAAUGGCUCACCAAGGCGACGACGGGUA